rnacentral:lncRNA from 1 species
CUGGAAGAGCAGUCAGUGCUCUUAACCACUGAGCCACCUCUCCAGCCCUGGGCUUUUCUUCCUCUGAAUUUCCAGGUAUUCCUAGGGACGAGUUAGCCAAUUGAAUCUGGAGGGCCAGUGUCUUUCAUUCUCUAAACAGUAUGUACACACGAUUAUAAAGGUGUCCAUGCUGGACUUCCCUGGGUUUUACAUCACUCUCUGCUUGGGACUUCAUUUAGCUUCAUAGAUGACUGGUUUUUGUUUGUUUUUGAGACAGUUUCUUUGUGUAGCUCUAGCUGUACUGGAACUCAGAAAGUCCACCUGCCUCUGCCUCCAGCGUGUGCCACCAUGCUCGGCUGCUACAGGUGGUUUUGAGCUGCCAAUCUGAGGGCAAGAGCAGGCUGUGCUCUUAACUGGGCCUCUCUCGUGGCUUUGUUGAGACAGGGCCCUGCACUUCGCAUUGAAGGAUGAAGACUGCUGUAGGUCACCGCCCUGCGGAAUGCUGUGUCCUGUGAUGUGUGUGAAAUGUAUCCUACGUGGCAGAGAAUUCGCUGCUGGGACUUGAAGCACAGGCGGCAGCUCAUCUACCAUUGAGCUACUACACACCUGACCAGGGCACCACAUAGCUACUGCUUCCUAAGAGUAAUAGAGUCCUGGGUUAUGUGGAUGCAUGUCUCUGUGGAGGCCAAAGGACUUCAAGUGUCCCUGCUCCAGCAACACCCCCCCUUCUUUUUCAAACAGGGUUUCUCUGUGUAGCCCUGGUUGUCCUGGAACUCACUUUGUAGACCAGGCUGGUUGCAAACUCACAGAGAUCCACCUGCCUCUACCUCCUCACUACUGAAAUCAAAGGCCACCACUCCUGGGUUUUUAAGGGACUGAAACCAACCUACAGGGAAAGGCCUCAGAGAUGCUAAAAGCUCAAUGGGCAAAAUGUAUCUGCGCUGAGGCUGAGGACACAGAGAUGGGAGGCAUCCUUUCUUGUGGGCUAUGGGUAUAGGAGGCGGUGCUUCAGGGAGACAGGCUUAGGCACACACACACAAAGAGAGACACUUCAAUUCACAUUUUAUUAAGUUCAAGGACCGGUUACAACAGGUGGAGGGGGUGGGAAGGUCCCUACCCCCACCUUCACUGGCACACAAUAAAUAAAUAAAUAGCUGGGAAUGGGCAGGUGAGGGUGGCACUGCAAACACUGACUGCAGGUGGGGACAAAAGGAGGGCCCCCUCCAAGCCGAAAAAGCCAUCAACACUGGACGGUGCUAAGGUAUGAGUGGGAACCUCUCCACACUACCCCAGGGCCACAGAGGUGCCCCACUGAGCAGUCUGUGGAGUGGGGUGACUUGAAGGAUGACCCUCUGUCUGAGAUGAGGUCUGACUCUGCCAUCCCGGUCACCAGACUCAGCAAUCCUCUUGCUUCAACCUCCCGAGUGCUAUACAUACCGGCAUUCAUCACCCUGUGCUACCAGCAUCUGGUCCCAGGAUCCAGUCAGGCUAGGAUUGUCAAAAGUUCACAAGUCUCUUGGACUUGGAAAUUGUUCUAAUUGGCAUCUAAGAGGCCAGUGGGAUCGUUAAUUGUCCUGAUGGACGCAUAGCCUCUGACUGGUGCUCUGGGGUUCCAGGAUAUGCAAGGCAUUCUUUAAGCUCCUACUUGCUCCACUAAAGGCCCACUCUGAGACAUAGGCCGGCAGUGCCAGCAGCUCUUCCCAGAGGCCUGGUCAGGCCAGGAACGGGCUGGAGUUCCCUAGAUCUCUGAUUGGCCAACAAUCUCUAGGGACAGAGCACUAGAGAUCCCAGAGAGUGGGAGGAACUUAAAAGGUUGGAAAAAAAAAAAUCUUCAUUUGGCUUCGGGGCCCAAGGAAGGGAGGUGACAGGGCAGGAAAUAAGGCCACCUGGUGGGGUCAGGCCAGGGUGAACCUUCAAGAUGUGGGGGGACAGCUUCUGAAGAGCAGAGUGUCCAGCCACGGCUAGGAGGGGGGUGUGAAAGCCCACAAACCUUCCUGGAUCCCAGCCUCCCUUCACUGGGGUACAGACACCCACUCCAGAAAGCUCAUGGUCCCGAAUGUGACUCAUGGCCCGUCGCCUCCAUCUGUGGGAUCAGGGAACAACAGGGGAGGUGGGCUCAGUCCUCCAGCCCCUCCAUCAAGUCCGCAAUGCUCUCCACAUAGUAGUGAGGCACAAGGUCACGCUGGCCAGCCGUCAGGUAGGCCUGGGCUUCUUCGAGGCUGGAGACGCCCGUGAGCGUGAGCACGGUGGUCAUGCCGCAGCGGUGGCCAAAGAGUAUGUCGGUCUCCAGGCGGUCCCCCACCAUCAGCGUGCGGGCGGGGUCCACGCUGAAGUCUUCUGUGAUGCACUGGAACAUGUAAGGGCUGGGCUUGCCCACCACCAGGGCCUGGCGUCCCGAGGCUGUCUCCACCGCGGCAGCCAGGCUUCCAGUACCUGUGGAGAGGGGAAUACUAGGUCAGCAAGAGGGCGGCAGCUGGGCCAGACCUAAAGGCUGGGCACUGCCUGUCCCAGACAACUGAAUUCAGAAUCACUGGUGCUCUGGGCACACUCUCUGCCUUAGUUUCUCAAUCUGACAUGAAGCUGGCAAUGGCCCUCACCUCCUGUGUGUACAUAAGCCCUCCAGCCUCUCUGACUUUCUCUCUCUACUGUGGUAAGACGGGAUCGUCCUGGAAGGGACACUGUGAGACUCGCUGGGAAGGGCACUUAGCAGUGGUGGUCAGUGCUCCAAGAAGCCAUGCUUGUGGCAUGGGAAAACUGGCACAGCCCGCUGCCUGGAAUGCAGCAGGGCACAGAAAUGUCCACACCUCUGACCUAGUCAGCCUUGCAGGGGAAAAUGAUCCCCCAGAGAAAACUCCAGACAGACAAAAAGCUACACCCUCAAAGAUGUCGGCGGCCACAGUAAGCGCAGGACGUAAGGAGAGCUGGGGAAGAAGCCAGGGAGUCUAACAACAAGAGGCCUGUUAAGGUGCUGUCUCCCAGCCAGCACCGAUCUCCUGGCACAAUGCGUCUCCUAUUCCUGCCCACUGGCGUGACCGCGUGCCAGUGCAUUCUGCCUUUACACCAACACCCACAACUAAACGAAGAGAAGCGGCACCAUUUACGCAAGUGUACUAAGAAGCCCAUUUCACAGAUGAGAAAGCUGAGGCCCUGUGACAUUAAGAAAUCUGCCCAGAGCCGGGCAGUGGUGGC